rnacentral:rRNA from 1 species
AACGUAGGAGGCGAGCGUUAUCCGGAUUUACUGGGCGUAAAGCGUGUGCAGGCGGUUUGAUAAGUUGGAUGUGAAAGCUCCUGGCUUAACCGGGAGAGGUCGUUCAAAACUAUCAGACUAGAGAGUGGUAGAGGGAGAUGGAAUUCCGCGUGUAGUGGUGAAAUGCGUAGAUAUGCGGAGGAACACCAGUGGCGAAAGCGGUCUCCUGGCCCAUUUCUGACGCUCAGACACGAAAGCUAAGGUAGCAAACAGGAUUAGAAACCCUAUAGUCC